AAUGAAUGAAUGAAUGAAUGAAUGAAUGACACCAAGAGACAACAAAAGUACUAUUCACACGUCAUAUUGUUAUAUACAGUAAAGUUAGAUUAGCUCAUUAGAAAGAGGAGAGGUGCUGUUUUUUUAAAGGUAUACUUGUUUUUUGCCUGAGUAACCUCUGGUGGCAGAGUAUUCCGCGAUGACAUGGCUCUUUACAGAACAGGAUAGCCACACCACCUUGUCAUGUUCAAUAGCCCCACUUACUCUCUCUGCCUCCUCAAGUGUACACAUCUACUCUGAUAUCCUUUCGCACGUACUUCUGUUUGGUUACGCUCAUACAAGCACACACACAUUUGAGAAUAGAUACAAAUACAUACCGGCACAUAUUUGUAAUCUGACGCAAAUAUACACCCACAGGACACACACACCCGCAGUACACUAUCACACCCACCAUAUACGAACACACCCACUCUGAGGUAUCUUAUAAAAGCAUAGUUUGCUUAUAUUUUUCCUCUCCCUGAAUGUUGACACAACUUAAUUCAGUUUUUUUAUAUAUAUAAUUUGAAGUGUGUGUGUGUGUGUGUGUGUGUGUGACUGCUGGGAUGUCAGUUCUGUCUGCACAGGCAGGCUCCUACCUCUAGGGGGCACUUCAGCCCAUGCCAAUCUCUGGAGUGUUGCUAGCUGUGGGCCUGUGUAAGGGUUAGAACCAAUCUCUGUAGUGUUGCUAGCUGUGGGCCUGUGUAAGGGUUAGAACCAAUCUCUGUAGUGUUGCUAGCUGUGGGCCUGUGUAAGGGUUAGAACCAAUCUCUGUAGUGUUGCUAGCUGUGGGCCUGUGUAAGGCUUAGAACCAAUCUCUGUAGUGUUGCUAGCUGUGGGCCUGUGUAAGGGUUAGAACCAAUCUCUGUAGUGUUGCUAGCUGUGGGCCUGUGUAAGGCUUAGAACCAAUCUCUGGGAGUGUUGUUCGGCAGUGUAAGGUAAACUGAUCUUCAGGGCUGGGGACAAUUCCAAUUGAAGGCAGUCAAUUCAGAAAGUAAACUUGAAUAACAAUUUUAAACAAUUUUCAAUAAACUGAGGAGUAGAAGCUAUUUAUUUCUAAUGUUUUUUAUUUUAUUUCCUGAAUUGACUGCCUUCAAUUAAACCACAGCCCUGCUGGAUGUUAGAUCUGCACCGAGGCAGUGUUGGAAGGUAAGCUGAUCUCAGAUCUGCCCUACAUCUCCCAUGUUACUCUUAGGACGUGACCAGGCAGUUGACGAAUCACAAUGAGACUGCAAAAGAAUAAGCUGACAGUGUGUUGUUGGUGGACAAUCAGUUUGUUGGGAUAGAUAUGAGAGUGGGUUAAUUGCAACCACGUUUAUUCAGGGUGACUUGUGGUUGACCAGUUAAAUGGACACUGGCUGAUUCCCCUGGUAGUACUUCAACUUUUCUUGUCUUUUGUUAUAUUGGAAUAUAUCUAUAUAUAUAUUAUUUUUUUACCGUUGACAAAUCAGACUCAUGGCUUUUGCUUAAACAAUUACUUUAAACAGUUUCAGUUACUGUCUGGUGAGUCCAAAAGUAUGUAUUUCAAGGUUACAUUUAUGCCCUUAAAAUCACAUUUAUAGGCAUUGACUUAACCAAGCCAAAUUUGACCCCGAUUUAGGCACAUCUGGAUUUUCUCAUCUGGGUCUGUGAGACGUCAUCAAGCCAAUUAAAUUGAAGGAUAAAAGUGACGCUUGUCGUCCUUGGAGCAAUAAUUUGUCCUUGGCUAGGUUGCGAUUCUCUAUUACCAAACUGAUUACCGCUGCGGAAUCCGUGUAGUGAAACAAUGUAAGCUUGCGAGACUUCCGGAUGGUUUUACGAGGUUACCGAUUCUCUACCCUUUUCCAGAAGUGUGCACUCGUUCAUCCGCCUCAAGCAUUUUAAAAGUAUUGGAUUGGUGCAACAUAGCUGGAGGGUGUUUUCACCGUAUUCCUGACACCAGUCCAUCAUUUUAAAUGAAGGGUGGUGCACACUUUGGAAGAAGGUUAAAUAAAAAAUAAUGUCGCUCUUGACUGAGGAAUGCUUUUUAAGGGGCAAGUUUCGUUUCUUUGUUACAUUUAACUAAUUUCCUCUACUUUAAAGUUACGUGCCCGUGUUACGAGGUUGUCAGGGCAGAUUUCAAGUUAUACUAUGCCUUGGACAGAACUGAUGAGAUUUUUAAUAUUUUUUUGCUAUCAAAGGUGUUUUUAAAUAGAGUAGUCGUGUGUCUCUUUAAAUAUGUUUGAACCGAAGUCGGAUGUAGAACUUGUAUAGAGGCAUGUUUUGAGGUUGGUUUUAGUUAAAUUGUGACGCAAGAGAUCUUCGAGUGGUGGGGUCAGUGUGACGUCAGUUGGUGGCAGGUGUGUUAGACACGCUUAGAACAUUCCACAUGUUUUUUUGUUGUUGUUGCAUUUAUUACCUAGAAUAAACAAACAUUUUCCUUUUUAGGUGACCUGUAGUACAAGUGCAAUGGCAAAGGCUGGGCUCGUUCUGUUGUGUGGUCUCUUUUCACAAUGAAACUGCCUAGUGUCUACAAUAUAAUUAGCAUGAAGUGAUCGCUAUAGAAUCUCCAUAACAUUUGUAGCACUUUGUGUAUUUUAAAAGCCAACUGCUUUUUAGUGAAAAGUGCAAAUUAACAGUAUUAUCUUUGUAAAACUGAACAAAAAUAUAAACCGGUCAAUUUCGAUGAUUUUACAAAUUUACAGUUCAAAUAAUGAAAUCAGUCAAUUGAAAUAAAUACAUUCCGCCCUAAUCUAUGGAUUUCACAUGACUGGGCAGGGGUGCAGCCAUGGGUGGGCCUGGGAGGGCAUAGACCCACCCACUUGGGAGCCAGGCCCAGCCAAUCAGAAAUUCGUUUUUCCCCCAUAAAAGGGAUUUAUUACAGACAGAAAUAGCUCUCAAUUUCAUCAACUGUCCGGGUGGCUGGUCUCAGACGAUCCCGCAGGUGAAGAAGCCGGAUGUGGAGGUCCUGGGCUGGCGUGGUUACACAAGGACUGUGUUUGGCAGGCCGGUUAGACGUACUGCCUAAUUGUCUUAUGGUAGAGAAAUGAACAUAACAUUUUCUGGCGACGUUCCUGCAGUCAGCAUGCCAAUUGCACGCUCCCUCAACUUGAGACAUCUGUGGCGUUGUGUUGUUUGACUAAACUGCACAUUUUAGAGUGGCCUUUUAUUGUCCCCAGCACAAGUUGCAGCUGUGUAAUGAUUAUGCUGUUUAAUCAGCUUCUUGAUAUGUCACACCUGUCAGGUGGAUGGAAUAUCUUAGCAAAGGAGAAAUGCUCACUAACAGGGAUGUAAUCACAUUUGUGCGCACAAUUUGAGAGAAAUAAGCUUUUUGUGCAUAUGGAAAAUGUCUGGGAUCUUUUAUUACAGCUCAUGAAACAUGGGACCAACAUUUUACAUGUUGCGUUUUAUAUUUUCGUUCAGUAUAAUUAAAGUUGGGUCACACCUUAAAUGAAGUGCAUGUCAAAAAGCCUGCAUGAUCCUUUGAUAAAGCCUUCACAAACACGGCACACAAACAUCAGGUUUAUAAAUGAUUUAUUGAACUUGUUAAAAACGUGUGUAACUGAAACACCUCACAAGGUGUUAUGCCACCUAAUAAUAGUUUAUGGAUGAUUUAUAAAGCCUUCAUGUCUUGUGACAGAAACGGUGUGACUGCAGACUUUUGGGUGAUCCAAAAUUGUAAAAUUCAGAUUUAAGCUUAUUUUUUAAGCAAACAUUUCUGGGUGGUUGAUACUGACAAUAAUCAUCCUUGAUUUUGUUAAUAUUGACAAAAUAAGGAAAGUUUUUUUUUUAGAAAACAAAUGUGUAAAUACUUUCUUAAUUAUGGGAAAUAGAUAUUCGUGAGUAGUUAAAGUAAUUUAUUAUUUAGCCUACCCUUGUUAAAAAGGAGUUGUAUUAUUUUACUUAUUCUUGUUCACCAGCCAGUGUAGAGGCCUGGUAAGCAUGCCUUUUUAAAACUUCAUAGGUAAAUGUUCAUUCACAUGCCUAAGUACUACUCCCGUUCUUACUUAUUCUUGUGUAUUACAUGGAAUUUUUCAUAGACGUCACCAGUUUGAGGAAACAGUUUUAACCAUUAAUCAAAGAGAAUGGCGGUAGACUCUAUGUAUGAGUAAUUGCUCCUGUAAGUUGCUCUGCAUCGGAGCAUCUGCUAAAUUACUAAAAUGUAAAUCUAUGUAUUCUGUAUGGUAAUACCCGUUUGACUCUUUUGAUAGAAUUUAGAAUUUUACUUAAUUCACUCUGAUGGAUCAAUGCUGUUGUUACUACCUCCCCCCUUCUAAAUCAGUAUUAUUUUACAUAGAAAAUGAAAGACAAUGUUUGACAUUAGUGUAAUGCACCAAUACUCAAUUUGAGUGGGCUGACAUGAACCAACAGAACAAUGUUGAUACAUUGUAAAAUACUCAACAAACUAUUAUUAUUAUUAUGUCCACUAAUAGUUAGAUUCUGUAUGGUACAUUUAACCUUUUGACCUUACAUUUGACCUUUAUAUUACACUUAAACAAUCAUGCACAUUUCUAGCCUAGCUAUUAAAACCAGACUGACCACUGCUCUCACGUGCAAAGACGGAUAAUAUUGUGUAUUUUUCUGUUCUUGGAACAAACCUGCUCAAUGGACCCACAAUGUGUCUUCGGGAUCAUCAUCUUCUAUUAAAACUUAAGUGGUGUGAUGUACUUGGUGUGUGUGUGUGUGUGUGUGUGUGUAAUUUGGUCCCAUAUUUUGUGCUUCUUGAGUUCAAACCCUAACUCUUGACUAGCCUGCAUGCAGUGACCAGUGGUUAAGUAGAGCAUGACCCUUUUUAAAUACCUACCGUAUGUUGAAACAAAGCAAUUUGAUGACAGCUCAAUUAGUUUGGAAUCCUUCCCUGUUUGUUGAAGUAAAAGAUGUUGAUUGAAA
rnacentral:lncRNA from 1 species